GCUCCGAUAGUGUAGACCGGUCAAUCAUUCCGGCCUUUCGAGCCGGUGACCCGGGUUCAAAUCCCGGUCGGAGCA
rfam:Thermoplasmatales archaeon DG-70 WOR1_52_54_2210, whole genome shotgun sequence.